GAUGAACGCUGGCGGCGUGCUUAACACAUGCAAGUCGAACGAAGCACUUUAUUUGAUUUCCUUCGGGACUGAUUAUUUUGUGACUGAGUGGCGGACGGGUGAGUAACGCGUGGGUAACCUGCCUUGUACAGGGGGAUAACAGUUGGAAACGGCUGCUAAUACCGCAUAAGCGCACGGCAUCGCAUGAUGCAGUGUGAAAAACUCCGGUGGUAAAGAUGGACCCGCGUUGGAUUAGCUAGUUGGUGAGGUAACGGCCCACCAAGGCGACGAUCCAUAGCCGACCUGAGAGGGUGACCGGCCACAUUGGGACUGAGACACGGCCCAAACUCCUACGGGAGGCAGCAGUGGGGAAUAUUGCACAAUGGGCGAAAGCCUGAUGCAGCGACGCCGCGUGAGCGAAGAAGUAUUUCGGUAUGUAAAGCUCUAUCAGCAGGGAAGAUAAUGACGGUACCUGACUAAGAAGCACCGGCUAAAUACGUG
rnacentral:rRNA from 1 species